rnacentral:lncRNA from 1 species
GUCAAUUCUUUGGCGGGAACUUUACAUUUCUACAUGGUCACUUUGUGUAAUGGACACCAUUUUCAUUGUCUAGUAAAUUGUAAUAUUAUAUUCUAUUUGGAGUUUGGUUUUCCUAUUUAUAAGGUCAGUUAUUCUUCUUAUACUAAUAUAUUAAUUAUCUAUCCUUCUAAUUAUAUGUAUGCAUGAUUUACGAAUGUUAUGAAUAAAUGCAUGUUUGAA